AUUGAACGCUGGCGGCGGGCUUAACACAUGCAAGUAGAACGCAGUUGCGAACGGGUGAGUACCGCGUAGGUACCUGCCUUAUAGCGGGGGAUAAAUAUUGAAAACGAUAGCUAAUACCGCAUACUGUGAGAUGGACCUGCGGCUGAUUAGCUAGUUGGUGAGGUAAAUGGUCACCAAGGCGACGAUACAUAGCCGACCUGAGAGGGGGAUCGGCAACAAUGGGACUGAUACAAGGCCCAAACUCCUACCGGAGGCAGGAGUAGGGAAAUUUCGGGCAAGGACCGAAGUCUGACCGGGCAACGCCGCGGGAGUGAAGGAGGGUUUCGGGUCGUAAAGCUCCGUUGUUAGAGAAGCGGUAACUAACCAGAAAGGGACGGCUAACUACGUGCCAGCAGCCGCGGUAAUAC
rnacentral:rRNA from 1 species